GGGAGUUUUGCAUGGGAACAGGAAUUUAGUCUGUGGGGUCAGACCUCAUUCCCCACAUCCCAGAGCUCUGCCUCUCACAGGCUAUGUGGCCCUGGGCCGUUGACCUCUAUCAGCCUCAGUUUGCAAAUAUAUGAAAUGGGACUCCUAAUGCCUGCCCAGUAGGGUGGUCACAGGGAGGAAAUGAGGUCAUCAGUUGUGGUCACUAACGAUUCCAUCUCUUGUUCUUCUUCCCUUGUUAUUCUAAAGCUCGGAUUGUAAUGUCCUGCUUGUGACAGCACCAGGACUUACAUCGUCUGUUGUGGUAAGAACAGCGUGUCCCUCUGUCGAGCAUUUUCUGCAUAUGAUAAUGAACUUGGGUGUGGGGCGGCUCAGCGAUCCCGACCCCCCCCCCCGGAAGCCAGUGUUCCAGGGGAAGGUGAGCCCGCAGUGCGGAGGACAGCUCUCGCUUGUGGCCGUGGCCGUAGCCGCCCUGAGCUGGCUUUGCAGGAAGAGUGGGGCGUGGCGGGCCGAGAGAGUUUCCUGUAGUGGGAGGUUUGGCCUGAACGUCGGGCCCCUGUGUUGUUACCUCUCCCAGCUCAAGGGAGGCUGCUGGGAGGGCUUCAGCGGGGCCGAGCAGGGGAAGGCUGGUGAGGACCAGCCGGGCUGCAGAAGCUUGCCGCAGAUUACCCAGGGAAGCAAAGCCUCCUGGCCUGUGGAAGUUCUUCCUCUGGGCUACUCGAAUUUCUUCUGCUGGAAUCUUAGUUUGUUUUCUCUUCUGCAGUCUUUGGGGGAAGGAUAGAAAUGUUAAUGACUCUCCUCCAUUACCCAGCAUUGAUUUGCAGGAGGGGAGCUCUGCCAUCCCCUGGUCUGCCUUUCCCUCCGUGCAUCCCUCUGGAUAUUCUAACAAGGGCUUAACCAGAGAUGAGUAAGUGUCAAGGCAGCCUUAGCUCACAGUGCUUCUCCCAAAUUCCUCCUCCUUCUCCCGCUCCUCUGCCUUACCAGUCCCUGUCCUUGGGGGCUCAGGGCAGAGGUCACCCUCCUGGGGGAAACAGUCCCCCCAGUCCUGCCCAGGUGGGCUCACCUCUGCUCCUCCCCGGGAGCUGCCAGCAGACAGCCCGGGAGCCCUGGGAAGUCAGGUCAAAUGCAGACGAUGCAUGAGCAAGAGCCAAGGGGAGGCGGGGUGUCCACCAGGGAGGUGAUUAGCUCCACGGCGCCUCUAAUAAUAAUCUGCGAGGCUAACAAACAGCACGGAGGAGGAGGAGGCGGCGGCGAGGGCAGGCUAUGUGCUGGCUGUCUCUGUCCUUGUUAAGGUUAGACGAGGAGGGAGCCCUUGUUAAUUGCAGACUUAUCCUGAUUACUACCAGCUCUCUGCCGGCAGCCACAGGAGCCAAAGCCAAGGCUUCGUGAGGAGACCGGGAGCAGCUGAAGACCAGUGGGGCAGGGUUUCCUCUGGGCCCUCGGGACCCAAACUUGUGCAAAAACCCUGGCUUCACAAAUUCAAUUCGUUUGUUGGUCCAUAUGGACUGGCUGCUGUGUGUUCUAUAGAACAUUCCAAGCAGAGCUGGAUGUCGAUUUUGGAAGGAUAUGAGAUGAGCGGACAAAGGUGGCUCUCCAUCUAUCCUGUCGGAAGACUCCCUUCCAGGACACACACAUACACACGGAUGCACACUAGCACUCAUGCACAUACGCUCUCACACUCACACACACUUGGCUCUGAGCCCUCCCAUGUUACAGACUCCAUAAAUAUCCUUGAAUUUGUACCUACAGGGAGAGGACGGUGCUGACCUUGCUCUGGCUUCCCCAGAUCCUUUGCUGCUCAAGCCUGUAGCUGACUAGGGAGGAGAGCACAGGGUGGGGGGAGGGAGGACUUCCCUCAGCUAGGAGGUCCGUAAAGCCUCUGGGAGCCCGCUGGUCCGCCGUGAGAGGCAGCAGCAAAGGCAAAAGAAUGGCCAGGCUGGGAGCCACAGGGGCUGGGAGAGCAUGGACAGGCCACCAAACCCAGCCUUAAUGCAAAUUUAGGGUUAGAUCCUAGCUUGAGCAAGAGCUCUGGUUAGCCUCAUACAGAACACGGCUGGCCCAAGCCCCGAGGACAGGAGCCUGUCAGACGGAACGGGGCGGAGGGCAGCGGGGUGAGGCGCAGGCCACGGGGCUGGCCGGGCGUUAGUAUAGGCAAAUUGGAAAAAUGCAGUUCUCCGAGGCUGUCCUCUGACACAGAAUGAGUGACUCUUACCCCAGUGGAUUAUAACUUAAAGACCUCAAAAGGGCUCCUAGAAAUAAGAAGGGUAGAAUUUUCUCCCUGCUGGGUGGAGGUUUGUCUUAUGCAGAAAUCACUUCAUCUCACUGCCUCUUGGAUCUGGCCAAGAGGGACAAUAUGACCCUGGGGGUUCUGAGCUGCCCCGUCUUCUGCAACUGCUUAGAAUGUCCCUUAAUCCCCCGCCUCCCUGGGCAGCCCCCCCCUCUCUGCAGACCUGCCUACUGCCUGCAGUGGCCCAGAACCCGCCUCUUCUCUCGGCUUCCAAACCUGACAUGGUCUCCAGGAUUGGCUCUGUGGUAGCAGGAUCAAUAACCGUUCUAUUAAAUAAUAAUGAUAAUGAAUGAAUGACAAUUUAUUAGGUUCUUCAUAUGUGAUAGGUCCCUGAGCUAAGUGCUUUAAAAUGCGUUUUUUUCGUGUAAUCCUUCUAACUAUCUGAUGAAGGAUGAUUUAAUGUAUUUAUGGGGCUUGGGGAGACAACCUGUCCAAGGUCUGGAGUGAUGUGGGGAGCAGGGAAGAAUCACUUUGGGCUUCUCCUCCUGGAGUCACAAGGGCUUAGGGACCCUGCCCGCAGGGGUCAUCCUCCCUACCCUUCCAGUCCCGCCUCUGGCCUGUGAUGGCCAGAGCCUGGUUUCUUGGUCUUGGUGCAAAGUACGUCCCCUCAAUGGAUAACCAAAGACCCACCACCAGUGAUCAUGUGUGGUUUUUGUCUGUUUCUUGUGAAACUAAUGAAUAUAGAUUUUAGAGGACGUCACUUUAAUCCCUCAACCCUCCUUGUUUUUGGGGGGAAAGAAGAUCUCAGAAAGUAUCUUCUGCAAGGAUUUGAAAACAGGGCUUUUUUUUUUUUUCUUUUUCUGCAAUUGGGCCCCUAGGCAGGAGCCUCUCUGAAGAGUCCCUCUCCAGGAUCCAUGCCCCAUUCCCUGGGAUCUGAGUUUCUUUAAUACUUUUAUUAUUAUUUCCCAGCUUCUCUGUUCUGUGGCCCUGCUCCAAGAUCAUGAGUCAUCAUCAGCUGAGAGUAGAUGAGGCUAGGGAGGGGAGGCGGGCGGGCCUCUCCCCUGCAGCGCCCUCCCUUCCCCGCAGCACUGAUUUUUCUGCUCCGUUUGACAACUGGGGUUAUUGCUUAUUGGACACUUGGUGCUGUUCUGAUGCCUUAUUGCUACCGAUUCGUUUCAUCUGGAAGGUGUGCCUUGUGCCCAUUUUGCUGAUGAGAAAAUAGAGACACAGCAGGAUCAGUCAUUUGUCCAGGGGCACAGCAUGGACAUGUUGGAGAGAGGGCACGGACCCCCACAACCUUGGGCACAGCUCAGACUCCUACUUCUUGCUACUGGAUGCUGGGGAUGGUUAUAAGUAAUUUUUUUUUUUUUUAAUUGGCAAGCUGGCCUAGGAAACUUUCUACUCUGAAUAGCACUGCUGUCCAUGCCAAGUUCUAAGGCACUGACGUACUAAUGAGUAGCGCUGUGGCCUGCUCUUUUGUGUCCCCCUCAGAAUUGGAACAAAAGACACGCUCCAUGGGUGUUGGGUGGGUGGCGGAUUGAUUGAAUUUCGUACCUGCGGGAAGCUCCACUGGCUUCCACAGCUGCCGAGGUCAGAAAAAGGAAGGAGGGGAGGAGGCGUGGUGGUCCGUGUGAAUGCGUCCCCCAGUGGGCAGGGCAGCCCUGGAGUGCCAACCAUGCCUGUUCCUUGGGUAGAUUUUCGAGGCAGACACUGUGUGUGGCACAAGGUGCUCCUUCCCCUCUUUCCUGGUGGACCCUAAGAAGCCGGCCGCCCUGUGAGGGGAAUCGGCCUUUACUGAAGGAGGGUAAACCUCGGGACAAGGUGCACUUGCCUUUCUCGCACUGCUGUGGAUUGGAACCCCAUGGAUCUCCUGGGCCCAGAGACAGACAGCAGGAAAGCAGAGGAAGCUUGACAGCUGCCCCCAGCCAUGGGAGGGAGGCCAGGCCCUGUGCAGAGACUUACGGGUUGGUUCUACAGGCAUCUGUGUUCUGCCCCGGGCUCGGGGCACCCUCCCCUGCUGCUACCUGCCCAGGUACACCCCCCCCCCCCCCCCCCCCCCGCCAGCUAGACCCCCGCUGCGGGGCAGCUGGGCGCUGAGGAGACCAGGGGCAGAGCCCGGAGGAGGGGGAAGAAGAUGUAACAUACUGAGCCAAGCACACUCAGGGAAAUAAAAGAUCUAUUUUUUUUUCCGUUUGUUCUCAGCAAACAUUUGUCAUUUAAUUUCUUCCUAAUUACACAAUUACGUAAUUAUGUAGUAUUAGUAAAAUAAAGCCUAAAGACGUUUGAGUAAAGAAUUACUUAAGUAAAUAAUGUCUGACUGAAGUAAUUAUUUCCCGGGUUUUCUUUUUUAAAGUAGAAUUGGAUGGAAUGGGUUCAGGCAUUGUUGUGGAACCAAGCGGGGGUGGGGACCGCACAGCCAGGGGUGGCGCCUGGCUCUGCUUACCCCCCUGGGCUUUAGUGCUUAGUACCCUGGCACCUUCCUCUCUUUGUAGAGGGGGCUCUGAUAGCAAAUCCCGACUCAGCGAUGGCUUGGGAACUGGCCUCUGCUUUGAGCCUCACUGCGCCGGUCAGAAGGACCAGAUGAGGACCAAGCUCUGAGCCGAAUCUUCCCUUAGGACAGUAGAACCAAGAUAUUCCCCCUUGGAGCUAUUUCUGAGUUUCCCGAGGCCUCGUGGUUCCUGCGGAAUUCCCGCGAAGCUGAGGUACACGUCUAGGAUCCUCAGAGGCAGUUGGUGCCCCUCCGCCUGCUCCAGGUCUCUGAAGGCUCAGACACCAGCUUGAAAACGAAGCAGGUCAAGACGACUUGGUCUUCUCCCUGGGGCCGUGGCUUUGUGCCUUCAAUAGGCGGUCCACCCAGACCAGCAUCAUGUGAAGAGAACACCACAGAAGCUUCUGGAAAGUGACUGGAGCCAUGGGGACUAUAUUGGGAAGGAAUGCUGACACAGUCCUCCAAAGGCCAGUUAAAAAGAUCAGUUUUUCUUGGGUGGUUUGUCUGUUCCCUGAGCAGCAAAAGUUUGGCAACAUUUAGUAAAAUUGAAGAUACAUUUCCCUACAAUCCGGCAACUCUACUUUAGACAUAUGUUCUGGAGAAACUCAUAUAAGUGCAGAAAGAGAUAUACACCAGAGGAACCACGGCAGCAUUGUUUAUAAUAGCAAAAAAAAAAAAAAAAAAAAAAAAACCACAAAGAAACAAAAAACCCCACAAAAAACAAAACAAAACAAAAAAAACAAGAGGAAACCACCUAAAUUUCCACCCACAGGAAAAUGAGUACAUUGUAGAAUAUUCAUCCAAUGGAAUUCUUUCCAGUAAUAAAAGUAAAGGAAGUGGAGCUACAUGUAUCAAUGUGGAUGAUCCCAUAAAACACUAUGGAGCUAAAAAAGCAAGUUGCAAAAGAAUAUAUAUGCUGUGAUACCACUUAGACAAGCUGUAAACUAUGCAAAAACCACACUAUGUACUGUUGAUGAAUAAUACAUAGGAAUAUAAACACCAGAUUCAAGAUGGUCAAAUUCAAGAGAGGGGGAAUACAGGGUAGGAAGGAGGCUUUCGAGGGAGGGGAUGCUAUGGUACGGAGGUAUCCAACUUUGCUGAUCAUGUUUUAUGUAUUAGGCGAGGUGGUAGGUACAAGGGUAUGUAUUAUACACUCUUCUUUAAAAUUUUUGAAUGCUUAAAAUAUUUUAAGAAAUGUUUUACUACAGAAUCAAAAUGUGCAAAUCCACCCAACAACCAGAGAUCCUAUGGGCUUUCCCCCAGAAGUGCCAGAAUGUGGUGCGUAUGUGUCUGAGAUGGCAGAGGUGGGGGUGACGGUGGGGGUAAGGGGUGGUAGAGAAGACCUCAACUAGAACAGGCCACAGCUGGCUCCUGGGUAGUUUUCUGGGUUGAAUACUCAUUCACUGAAGUUCUCCUCUUCCCACAAUAUUUGCCUAUGUAACAAGCUAAAUAUUCAUUGAGUAAUUAACCAGUUCAAAUUUGUGGUAUGAAAAGACAAUUCCUUCUAAUUAUAGGGAUGUCAGUUAAAAGAUGCCACACUAGGAUACCAUUCACUGCCAAGAGAGCCUUUAUAAAAUUCUUGCUGUGAUUUAGAUUCAAAAAGGUAAAAAAAAAAAAAAAAA